UGCUUCAGGGGAAAGGCUCUUUAAAGGGACAACCCUUUCAGGAGAGAGAAACAACAGGGCCGGCUCUGGAACUCGCCAAACUCAAUAAUAUUUGCUGCCAGUCACCUGGAUAUAUCCGGGUAUCUGGGCGACUGGGGUAGGCAGCAGUAGUUGCUGCCAGGUGGAUAUAUCUGGUUAUUGCUGCGGGACGGGGCAUGCUGAAACGACCAGGUACCUCUUGUGCACAGACCAAGCAAUAAUAAUGACAAAUACACACACAGAGAGGUGGGAGUGAACAAGAAAUUGUGCGGCGGCACAUCAAGACCAAUGGCCACUCUCCCGAAGGACGGCUGCCCCGGACUCGAAACGUUGACUCCGCUUUCUCUCUGUCUGUCUCUGGACAGAUGCUACCAGGCCUGAAGCACAAACAAGGUCCUCGGGGGAUGUGGCCAUCUCUGUCAAGGUGGGAAGUGGAUGCAAUUCUGAAAUGUCUUUGAACCAAUCGACUUGCUCAGCCAGAAGGCAGUGAAGAGUUUGCAAUGGUUAGGAAUCACGUGCAGAGCAGAGCGGAUGCUGCAGACCUGCUGAGUUUCUGAAGCAAGUUUUUAAAGAGUGUUUAUGUCAAGUUUUCAGCUGGACUCCAGUGAAGAACUAGUACUGAUCACGAUGAAGAAUGGACUACCUGGCACUGUGUGGUCGGAAUUACUGGUCACAUUAAGUAUUGUUGCACUGGGACCCCUGUUGAUCACAACAGACUGGUAUUGGCCUUGGUGUUGGGACUGGAAAAAUUCAGUGGCCAGUUCUGUCCUGUCUGAGCUAGAGUUGUAAUUCCCGCUAGCAUUGUUUAAGGCUUUCUGUUGAAAGUAGGGUCCAGUACCUCCGCUCAUUACACACUCUGGAAUGAGACAACUCCCAAUCAGAACCUCCGUUUUAGUGGCUCUGGGGGCGAGGAAAAUCCCAGUAACAGGAACUGGAACAAAAUAAGACAAAGAGGAAAUAAAAGAUUGGAUGUUGAAAUUGUCUCUGUUUUUCAUGGAUGUUAUCAUCGAUGACAUGAUGAUAAUUGAUGGAAAGGAGACAUAAAACAAGCGAGAUUUCACAUCAUUACAAAGUCUCCCUGUGUUGUACAAUCUCCACUUUGAAAGAUUUGUGUAAACUAUGGAUGACCAAAUGGUACCUCAUCCAACCAUUGCCUCUUGAUGUUCAAUGGUGUUACCAUCACUGUCCCCACCCCGCUGCACAAUCAACAUCCUUGUGGGUUACUGUUACUGUUUGCACCCCAGCCUACUAUCAACAUACUGGGGGUUAUCGUCACUGUCCCCACCCCACUGCACUAUCAAAAUCCUAAGGGUUACUGUCACUGUUCCCACUCCCACCCCACUAUCAAUGUCCUGGGGGUUACCAUCACUGUGGCCAACCCCACCCUAGUAUGAACAUCUUUGGUAUUAACUUCAGCCUCCUUCAGCUUGUAUUGUCUCAGCUUCGACCUUUCUCUGAUGGAUUGUUUCACAAGGAAUUGUAAACUCAGAUCUACAGCACAGAAACGGGACCUUCAGCUGACUGAAUCCAUGUCAGUCAAAAGUAGCCAACUCUAUUCUCUAGUAUCAUUUUCCCAGUCAUAGGGUCACACAGCAUGGAAAUAGGCCUGUCGGCCCAGCGCGUCCAUGCUGACCUGGUCUCACUCGCGAAACUAGUCCCAUUUGUUUACGUUUGGCCCAUAUCCAUUGAAACCUUUCCUAUCCAUGUAUCUUUCCAAAUCUCUUUUAGAGGUUGUUUUUAUACCCACUUCCUCUGGCAGCUCAUUCCAAAUAUAAGGCACUUGUAGGACCAUAUUUGGAACAUUGUAAGCUGUUUUGGGCCCCCUAUCUCAGAAAGGAUGUGCUGAACUUGGAAGGGGUCCAGAUGGCGUUUACAAGAAAGAUCCCAGGGAUGAAGAACGUGUGAUAUGAGACAACAUUGAGGACUCUGGUUCUUAAUUAGAAGUGUGAGGGAGAAACUGAUUGAAAGUUACAGAAUAUUGAGAGGCAUGGAUAGAGUGGACAU